GACCCCGCACAAGCAGCGGAGCAUGUGGUUUAAUUCGACGCAACGCGAAGAACCUUACCAGGUCUUGACAUCGAUGGAACCAAAAGAGAUUUUGGGUGCCCGCAAGGGAGCCAGAAGACAGGUGGUGCAUGGUUGUCGUCAGCUCGUGUCGUGAGAUGUUGGGUUAAGUCCCGCAACGAGCGCAACCCUUGCCGUCAGUUACUAACAGGUAAAGCUGAGGACUCUGACAGGACUGCCGUGGACAACACGGAGGAAGGUGGGGAUGACGUCAAAUCAUCAUGCCCCUUAUGACCUGGGCUACACACGUGCUACAAUGGCCGUAACAAAGAGAAACGAAGUCGCAAGGCAGAGUGGAUCUACAAAAACGGUCUCAGUUCAGAUUGUGGGCUGCAACCCGCCCACAUGAAGUCGGAGUUGCUAGUAAUCGCGAAUCAGCAUGUCG
rnacentral:rRNA from 1 species